AAGAGGCCGUUAGAGAGCAGGGAAGCCUUUAUAAAAUUUGCCUGUACCGAAGACUUCGGUUUGUUACAUUAAUAAAAGUGUUAUGUUUAUCCACGCUUCGCAUGGCCAAGCUUUUGGCAAUCACUCUUUGAAAGCCCCUAGCUCUUGGUGGCGCGAUCAUAAAAUUGUUACAGAUUGGGCUAGAAGGAAACUUUUUAAUGAAUACGAAGAUACGCGAAAUGUACUCAAAGCGUUAGCUGUUAACGAAAACAUUCCAGAGCGCUAUAGAUGGGAUGCAGCUUACCAAUUAAGUUCUUUGCCUCGUAAUUCCUCACGAACUAGAAUUAGAAAUAGAAGCAUAUUUUCCUCUAGACCAAGAGCUGUGUUGUCUGAAUAUCGUAUCGAUCGUAUUGUUUUUCGAAAUCUCGCUGAAGCCGGAAUGAUACCUGGGGUUUCUCGUUACAGCCGAUAAUAUAAAUUGCU